rnacentral:rRNA from 1 species
CGGAAAGGCUCCUUCGGGGGUACUCGAGCGGCGAACGGGUGAGUAACACGUGAGUAAUCUGCCCUUGGCUUCGGGAUAGCCACCGGAAACGGUGAUUAAUACCGGAUACGACACAUCACUGCAUGGUGCGUGUGUGGAAAGUUUUUUCGGCCAGGGAUGUGCUCGCGGCCUAUCAGCUUGUUGGUGGGGUAAUGGCCUACCAAGGCUUCGACGGGUAGCCGGCCUGAGAGGGUGACCGGCCACACUGGGACUGAGACACGGCCCAGACUCCUACGGGAGGCAGCAGUGGGGAAUAUUGGACAAUGGGCGGAAGCCUGAUCCAGCAACGCCGCGUGAGGGAUGACGGCCUUCGGGUUGUAAACCUCUUUCAGCACAGACGAAGCGCAAGUGACGGUAUGUGCAGAAGAAGGACCGGCCAACUACGUGCCAGCAGCCGCGGUAAUACGUAGGGUCCGAGCGUUGUCCGGAAUUAUUGGGCGUAAAGGGCUCGUAGGCGGUUUGUCGCGUCGGGAGUGAAAACACCGGGCUUAACUCGGUGCUUGCUUUCGAUACGGGCAGACUAGAGGCAUUCAGGGGAGAACGGAAUUCCUGGUGUAGCGGUGAAAUGCGCAGAUAUCAGGAGGAACACCGGUGGCGAAGGCGGUUCUCUGGGAAUGUCCUGACGCUGAGGAG